rnacentral:lncRNA from 1 species
AUGCAGUCACCAGCCACAGGUCAGGGCCCGGGUGAAGGGGCUCAGCCUCCGGCACCCUGCCCAAGCACUACCUCUCAGUGUUGCCAAGGAAGUUUGAAAGUGAAAAUGCCUGGGGAGAAAGUGAAACCAGCUUCUCCUCUCCCUCUCCCGCCGCCCUGGGGGCGUGUCGCCUGCCUUUGCCCAGAAGCACGCGUGACAGAAGCUGAGUCAGUGGAGAAAGACCAAAGUAGAUGCCGCUCGUGGCCUCGGAGCCCUGCAGGAAGCAAGCGCCUGCUCCUCUGGCUCCAUAGCUGUAGACUAAGAUGGCCCGCGGCCAAGCCCAGAACGCCGGUCCUGGAGUGAGAGGCUUCCCCCGGAACGAGCUCAGCGUCCAUCAUGACGUGUGAAGAGCGAGGCCGCCCCUGCCUCUCCCAGCAGCCCAGCAGACCAGAGAUGGUGUUGGAAGAGCGCCCAGAAGGGGCCGCUGGGCUCAGACACUGCACCUGCUCUGGGGGACUCCAAUUCAGAUCUUGCUUGGGAGGGGGUCAGUGAGCAAAUUCCUGGGGGCAGCAGGAAUUUGCUCCUGCCUAGAGACCCUGGCACCUCGGGGUCAGCUGGAGUUGGGGAGAUUCUUAAAAAUGCUAUUCAAGGCCCCCCCCAGUCCAAGGGCAGCAGACCCUCUGGGGGGACUUGUUUCCUGACUGGCAGUCAGGACAGGGAAUCCUGGGCCAGCACUAAGCACCGCCACUUUCUCCUGACCUGAGAUGGGAAAACGUGUGACAGGGCGGCGAGGAGAACACCUGCCUUAAACUUCAUUGGCCGCACAUCACAGAGGUGUGCUAAGGGUCCUUGUCCCCAAGGUAAGACUCAGGCACUCCUCGGAAUGGCCACUGGUGGGAAAGCAAGGUUGAGUCAGCCUUUUUUUUUUUUUUUUUGUUUUUGUUGCUUUUUUUCCAGGGGGAGUCUCUGCUGAUCGCGGCGGGGUAGACUGCCCAGGCACGAUCACUGGCUUUUGGGCCAAUUAUUUUUUUUUUUUUUUUUUGACAGACAGAGUGGACAGAGAGAGAGAGACAAAGAGAAAGGUCUUCCUUUGCCGUUGGUUCACCCUCCAAUGGCUGCCGCGGCCAGCGCACCGCGCCUAUCCAAAGGCAGGAGCCAGGUGCUUUUCCUGGUGUCCCAUGGGGUGCAGGGCCCAAGCACUUGGGCCAUCCUCCACUGCCUUCCCGGGCCACAGCAGAGAGCUGGCCUGGAAGAGGGGCAACCGGGACAGAAUCCGGCACCCCUACUGGGACUAGAACCCGGUGUGCCGGCGCUGCUAGAUGGAGGAUUAGCCUAUUGAGCCAUGGCACCGGCCCUCUGAGCC